rnacentral:rRNA from 1 species
GACGAACGCUGGCGGCGUGCUUAACACAUGCAAGUCGAACGGUAAGGCCCUUCGGGGUACACGAGUGGCGAACGGGUGAGUAACACGUGGGUGAUCUGCCCUGCACUUCGGGAUAAGCCUGGGAAACUGGGUCUAAUACCGGAUAGGACCACUGCCUGCAUGGGUGGUGGUGGGAAGCUUUUGCGGUGUGGGAUGGGCCCGCGGCCUAUCAGCUUGUUGGUGGGGUGAUGGCCUACCAAGGCGACGACGGGUAGCCAGCCUGAGAGGGUGACCGGCCACACUGGGACUGAGAUACGGCCCAGACUCCUACGGGAGGCAGCAGUGGGGAAUAUUGCACAAUGGGCGCAAGCCUGAUGCAGCGACGCCGCGUGAGGGAUGACGGCCUUCGGGUUGUAAACCUCUUUCAGCACCGACGAAGCGCAAGUGACGGUAGGUGCAGAAGAAGGACCGGCCAACUACGUGCCAGCCGCCGCAGUAA